rnacentral:rRNA from 1 species
AAACUGGAGAGUUUGAUCCUGGCUCAGAGCGAACGUUUGCGGCGGGCCUAACACAUGCAAGUCGAACGAGAAUCCCUUCGGGGAGGAAAGUGGCGCACGGGUGCGUAACACGUGGAUAACCAACCCCCUGGCUCGGGACAACACUGGGAAACCGGUGCUAAUACCGGAUAUGGCGAGCGGAUCAUCAGGUCUGCUCGAGAAAGGCACGCAAGGGUCACCAGGGGACGGGUCCGCGUCCCAUCAGCUUGUUGGUGAGGUAAUGGCUCACCAAGGCUAAGACGGGUAGCUGGUCUGAGAGGAUGAUCAGCCACACUGGAACUGAGACACGGUCCAGACUCCUACGGGAGGCAGCAGUGGGGAAUAUUGCGCAAUGGG